rnacentral:snRNA from 1 species
AUUCAUGCGAAAUUGUUUUGGAG